CCUACGGGGGGCUGCAGUGAGGAAUAUUGGUCAAUGGACGAGAGUCUGAACCAGCCAAGUAGCGUGAAGGAUGACUGCCCUAUGGGUUGUAAACUUCUUUUAUAUGGGAAUAAAAUGUUCCACGUGUGGGAUUUUGUAUGUACCAUAUGAAUAAGGAUCGGCUAACUCCGUGCCAGCAGCCGCGGUAAUACGGCGGAUCCGAGCGUUAUCCGGAUUUAUUGGGUUUAAAGGGAGCGUAGGUGGAUUGUUAAGUCAGUUGUGAAAGUUUGCGGCUCAACCGUAAAAUUGCAGUUGAAACUGGCAGUCUUGAGUAGAGUAGAGGUGGGCGGAAUUCGUGGUGUAGCGGUGAAAUGCUUAGAUAUCACGAAGAACUCCGAUUGCGAAGGCAGUUCACUGGACUGCAACUGACACUGAGGCUCGAAAGUGUGGGUAUCAAACAGGAUUAGAUACCCUGGUAGUC
rnacentral:rRNA from 1 species